rnacentral:misc_RNA from 1 species
GGAGGGAUCAUUACAGAGAACAUCGCCCGCGAGGGUGACUCUCCAACCCUAUGUUAAUUAUACCUUUGUUGCUUUGGCGAGCCGCUCCGGCCACCGGCUUCUCGCUGGUGAGUGCUCGCCAGAGGACCCUAAACUCUGUUUAUACAUGUCGUCUGAGUACUAUAUAAUAGUUAAAACUUUCAACAACGGAUCUCUUGGUUCUGGCAUCGAUGAAGAACGCAGCGAAAUGCGAUAAGUAAUGUGAAUUGCAGAAUUCAGUGAAUCAUCGAAUCUUUGAACGCACAUUGCGCCCUGUGGUAUUCCGCAGGGCAUGCCUGUUCGAGCGUCAGUACAACACUCAAGCCUAGCUUGGUCUUGGGCCUCGCCGGAAACGGCGGGCCUUAAAAUCAGUGGCGGCGCCUCUCGGGCCCUAAGCGUAGUAAUACUCCUCGCUACAGGGACCCGGUGGACGCUGGCCAGCAACCCCCAACUUUCUAAGUUUGACCUCGGAUCAGGUAGGGAUACCCGCUGAACUUAAGCAUAUCAAUAAGCGGAGGAAAAGAAACCAACAGGGAUUACCUCAGUAACGGCGAGUGAAGCGGUAACAGCUCAAAUUUGAAAUCUGGUCCUUUCAGGGCCCGAGUUGUAAUUUGUAGAAGAUGCUUCGAGCGUGGCACCGGUCUAAGUUCCUUGGAACAGGACGUCAUAGAGGGUGAGAAUCCCGUAUGCGACUGGCCGCCUUUGUUCAUGUGAAGCUCUUUCGACGAGUCGAGUUGUUUGGGAAUGCAGCUCAAAAUGGGUGGUAUAUUUCAUCUAAAGCUAAAUAUUGGCCAGAGACCGAUAGCGCACAAGUAGAGUGAUCGAAAGAUGAAAAGCACUUUGGAAAGAGAGUUAAACAGUACGUGAAAUUGUUGAAAGGGAAGCGCUUGCAACCAGACUUGCACGCUGCCGAUCAUCUGGGGUUCUCCCCAGUGCACUCGGUAACGUUCAGGCCAGCAUCGGUUUGGGUGGUUGGAUAAAGGCCUUGGGAACGUAGCUCCUCUCGGGGAGUGUUAUAGCCCUCGGUGCAAUGCAGCCUACCCGGACCGAGGACCGCGCUUCGGCUAGGAUGCUGGCGUAAUGGUUGUAAGCGACCCGUCUUGAAACACGGACCAAGGAGUCUAACAUCUAUGCGAGUGUUUGGGUGUCAAACCCAUACGCGUAAUUAACGUGAACGGAGGUAAGAACCCUUAAGGGUGCAUUAUCGACCGAUCCUGAUGUCUUCGGAUGGAUUUGAGUAAGAGCAUAGCUGUUGGGACCCGAAAGAUGGUGAACUAUGCCUGAAUAGGGUGAAGCCAGAGGAAACUCUGGUGGAGGCUCGCAGCGGUUCUGACGUGCAAAUCGAUCGUCAAAUUUGGGUAUAGGGGCGAAAGACUAAUCGAACCAUCUAGUAGCUGGUUCCUGC